rnacentral:rRNA from 1 species
GGGGGGGGGGGGGGGGGGGGUGAGCGCGUGCGGGGCGAGGGGGGGGGGCCUGGUGGGGUGGGGUGCUGGGGUGGGGAAGGGGUGAGUAGCAGGGGAGUACGCUGGCCUUGACUUGGGGAUAGCUUGGUGAAUGUGGGGCUACUACAGGAUCUGAGAUACUGCUGCGUGGUGGGGGUCGGACAGUUUCGGCGGUUGGGGAUGGACUCGCGGCUUAUCAGCUUGUUGGUGGGGUAGUGGCUUACCAAGGCUUUGACGGGUAGCCGGCCUGAGAGGGUGACCGGCCACAUUGGGACUGAGAGACGGCCCAGACUCCUACGGGAGGCAGCAGUGGGGAAUAUUGCACAAUGGGCGGAAGCCUGAUGCAGCAACGCCGCGUGCGGGAUGACGGCCUUCGGGUUGUAAACCGCUUUCGCCUGUGACGAAGCGUGAGUGACGGUAAUGGGUAAAGAAGCACCGGCUAACUACGUG